rnacentral:rRNA from 1 species
GAUGAACGCUGGCGGCGUGCCUAACACAUGCAAGUCGAACGAACAGACGAGUAGCGUUCCUCUUGGGCGUUAGCGGCGGACGGGAGAGUAACAAGCAGGCCACCACCCUGUAAGAAUCGGGUAACUUCGGGUAAUAGUACCUAAUACCGGAUAAUAUUUCGAACCGCAUGGUUCGAUAGUUAACGAUGUCUUUGCUGUCACUGAUAGAUGGACCUGCGCCGUAUUAGAUAGUUGGUAGGGUAACGGCUUACCAAGGCGACGAUACGUAGCCGACCUGAGAGGGUGAUCGGCCACACUGGAACUGAGACACGGCCCAGACUCCUACGGGAGGCAGCAGUGGGGAAUCUUCGGCAAUGGGCGAAAGCCUGACGCAGCAACGCCGCGUGAGUGAUGAAGGCCUUCGGAUUGUAAAACUCUGUUGUUAGGAAAGAACAAGCUUGGACGUAACCGUGGAGGACAUGACGGUACCUGAAGAAAAAGCCCCGGCUAACUACGUG